UGAUAGACUCUUCUCUAUGUUGAGCCUC
rnacentral:piRNA from 1 species